rnacentral:misc_RNA from 1 species
GAUGAAGAACGGCAGCGAAAUGCGAUAAGUAGUGUGAAUUGCAGAAUUCCGUGAAUCAUCGAAUCUUUGAACGCACAUUGCGCCUUCUGGUAUUCCGGAAGGCAUGCCUGUUCGAGAGUCAUUAACAACCGUUUCGAUCCCUUUCUUUCAGAAAUUACAAAGAGGAAAAGGGUUUGGUUAUGGUGGAGGAGGGAAAGGGAGCGUUUAGCCUGUAAAAAAAGAGGCUGUGUUCCGCCUCCCCCCCAAAAUUGUACAGGCGGUCGUGUGCGCCCACGCAUCGAGGUGUUGUAAAAGCUGCCACGGCACUUUUCACCUGUGCAGUGCGAGAUUGGCCAGCCGGUUUAAAAACCCCUCCAAACAAUCAAAGGUUGACCUCGGAUCAGGUAGGGAUACCCGCUGAACUUAAGCAUAUCAAUAAGCGGAGGA